rnacentral:tRNA from 1 species
AUCUUUCUAGUACAAUAUGAGUAUUGAUGACUUCCAAUCACCCGAUCUUGGUUAAAGCCCAAGGAAAGAUA